rnacentral:rRNA from 1 species
AAGUAGCGGCGAGCGAAAGCGGAUGAGGCGAAGUGAACACGUUGGAAUGCGUGGCCGAAGAAGGUGAAAGCCCUGUAGGUAGCCGUUUAGCCAUAGAGUAGCGUCGGGCUCGUGAAACCCGGCGUGAACAUGGGGGGUCCACCCUCCAAGGCUAAGUACUCCUCGACGACCGAUAGUGGACCAGUAAGGUGACUGAACGAUGACAAGCACCCCUAUGAGGGGAGUGAAAUAGCACCUGAAACCGUGCGCUUACAAGCGGUGGGAGCCCUUCGGGGUGACCGCGUGCUUUUUGCAUAAUGAGCUCGGGAGUUAGCCUCUGUGGCGAGCCUAAGGCCUAUCGGGCCGGAGGCGGAGCGAAAGCGAGUCUGAAUAGGGCGUGCAGUCGCAGGGGCUAGACGCGAAACCCGUGUGAUCUACCCAUGGCCAGGGUGAAGGAGGGGUAAGACCCUCUGGAGGCCCGAACCCAUAUUCGUUGAAAAGAAUUGGGAUGAGCUGUGGGGAGGAGUUAAAGUCUAAUCAAACCGGGAAAUAGCUCGUUCUCUCCGAAAUAACUUUAGGGUUAGCCUCGAGAUGCAAGCAUUGGGGGUAGAGCUACUGGAUGGGUGGUGGGCCCUCACGGGUACCCCACCCAACCAAACUCCGAAUACCAAUGCCCAAGCCUCGGGAGAUAGACGGCGAGUGACAAUAUCCGUCGUCAAGAGGAGAACAAUCCAGACCGCCGGCUAAGGUCCCAAAUCGACGCUCAGUUAGGAAGGAAGUCGGAUUGCCAUGACAGCCAGGAUGUUGGCUUAGAA